GGUGUGUUGAUGUCAGGAGGAGGAGAAAGACUUCAGACUCAGUGUGUGUUGGUGUGUAGAUGUGAGUGUACGGCGAGGAAUUCAGACGCUGGAGGACUUUUCUCCAUGCAUUAAAACUUCACAGUGUUUCGCGACUCAAGCCUGUAACGAGGACACAACGGAGCGGGCAAAUGCGAAGAUGCGAGAAGAAAUCCAGGAAGAGAGUGUCUGCCUAUUAAAAAUUCCGCGCGGGAGAACAGACAUUAUCGCCGUUUCAGACUUGUGGCAGCACUGAGGAUAAACUACAAUACUAACGGGCUUCAAAGAUCAUUGAAUGGGGUGAAACGAAGCGGGGUUUUUCUCGAAAAAGCGAGUCCAAAGCUUUUCCAAGCGGCCAAAAACCAAAGGGAAGGGGAGGAGAGGGGGGCAAAGAAAACGCCCUGCUGCCUGUUGCUGGUAUCUCCAAAUUCAAACUUUAUCGCCGAGUUGGAAAAAUGCAUCUUUCACUUAACAGGAGGUGAUAAAUCAAGUGUAACGUUGUCGUUAUUAGCUCCAAGCCAAAUAGCUGGCUAACUGAAGGCCCCGCUUACUUGGCAAGUUUUGGGAAGCGGGGAGUCUCUUUGCUCUGGGAAUAUUUUCUCUUCAUUGUGCACACUAUUCCCGUUGGAGGCGAGUUGGGUGGGCUGCGAGCCCAAGGCUGCUCCGCUAGGCCCAGGGCCAUUAGCCAGGAACAAAGAGGUUUCACAUGUAAACUCAAACAGUUUGGAAAACCUGUCCAUAUUUUUACACCGUUUCUAAUGACCGACGCCGCCGCAGUCAUGUCGCUGGGCGCCGAGAGGAGGAUGGAAACCCGGCUGAAGAAGCUGGAGGACAUGAUCAGAGACCCCAGAUCCUCCGUAAACUUGGAAAGUUUGCUGGACUCCAUGAACGCCUUGGUCUUAGACUUGGACUACCCUGCACUACGAAAGAACAAAAACAUCGAAACCUUCUUAAACAGAUAUGAGAAAGUCAUAGGACAAAUUCGAGACCUCCAGAUGAAAUCUGAAGACUUUGAAAGAGUUAAAGUAAUUGGUCGAGGGGCGUUUGGUGAAGUCCAACUGGUCAGGCACAAAGCCUCCCAGAAGGUUUACGCCAUGAAGCUGCUGAGCAAAUUUGAGAUGAUCAAGCGCUCAGAUUCCGCCUUUUUCUGGGAAGAGAGGGACAUCAUGGCCUUCGCUAACAGUCCCUGGGUAGUGCAGUUGUGCUGUGCCUUCCAAGAUGAGCACUACCUCUACAUGGUGAUGGAGUACAUGCCAGGAGGUGACUUGGUCAACCUCACCAGCACCUACGAUGUGCCAGAGAAAUGGGCCAAGUUCUACACAGCAGAGGUCGUGAUGGCCCUGGAUGCCAUUCACUCCAUGGGCUUCAUCCACCGCGAUGUCAAGCCGGACAACAUGCUGCUGGACAGACAUGGACACCUCAAGCUGGCUGACUUUGGCACGUGUAUGAAGAUGGACUCUACCGGCAUGGUGCACUGUGAUACAGCAGUCGGGACUCCAGACUACAUCUCUCCUGAGGUGCUGAAGUCCCAGGGAGGAGAUGGAUAUUAUGGGAGAGAGUGCGACUGGUGGUCUGUAGGGGUCUUCAUCUUUGAGAUGCUUGUUGGUGACACGCCGUUCUACGCUGACUCUCUGGUGGGAACGUACAGUAAGAUAAUGGACCAUAAGAACUCUCUAAACUUCCCCGAUGAUGUGGAGAUCUCCAAAGAUGCAAAGAACAUCAUCUGUGCCUUCCUGACUGACAGGGAGGUACGAUUGGGCAGGAACGGCGUGGAGGAAAUCAAGCGACACCCUUUCUUCAAGAACGACCAGUGGACUUUCUACACCAUCAGAGACACGGUUGCCCCUGUGGUCCCAGAGCUGAGCAGUGACAUAGACACCAGUAACUUUGAUGAGAUUGAAGAUGACAAAGGCGAUGUAGAAACUUUUCCCACACCUAAGGCCUUUGUUGGAAAUCAGUUACCCUUUGUCGGCUUCACUUACUUCAAAGAAGACCAGUUACUAACUACUCCCAACAAUUCCUCAGUGACCCAUGAGAGUUCAAAGGGACAGUCAGCAGCAUUGCAGAAGAAACUUCACCACCUAGAGGUGCAAAUGAAUAAUGACAAGCAGGUCAAAGAUGAUCUAGAGAACAAGUACAGAGCAGCCACUAGUCGUCUGGACAAAAUCUCUAAAGAACUUGAAGAAGAGGUGAGCGGAAGAAAGAACCUGGAGUCGAGUCUGAGGCAGCUGGAGAGAGAGAAGGCCCUGCUGCAGCACAAGAGCCUGGAGAGCCACCGCAAGGCUGAGAGCGAGGCUGACAGGAAGCGCUGCCUGGAGAAUGAAGUCAACAGCCUACGAGACCAGCUGGAUGACAUGAAGAGGAGAAACCAGAAUUCGCACAUUUCAAAUGAGAAGAACAUUCACCUGCAGAAACAGCUGGAAGAAGCCAACACACUGCUGCGGGCUGAGUCUGAGGCAGCGACGAGGCUCCGUAAAGCCCAGACGGAGAGCAGCAAGCAGUUGCAGCAGCUAGAGGCAAACGUACGCGAGCUACAGGACAAAUGCUGCCUGCUGGAGCGCAGCAAGCUGAGUCUGGAGAAGGAAUGCAUCAGCCUGCAGGCGGCUCUGGAGACGGAGAGGAGGGAGCACAGCCAGGGCUCGGAGACCAUCAGUGACCUUAUGGGACGGAUCUCUGGUCUGGAGGAGGAGGCGCGUCAGCAGAGACAGGCCCUGUCCAAAGUUGAGACGGAGAAGAGACAGCUUCAGGAGAAACUCACUGAUCUAGAGAAGGAGAAGAGCAACAAAGAGAUUGAUUUGACCUACAAGCUGAAGGUGCUGCAGCAAGAGCUGGAGCAGGAGGAGACCUCUCACAAGGCCACCAGGGCACUGCUGGCAGACAAGAGCAAGAUCAAAGUAACCAUCGAGGGUGCCAAGUCAGAAUCCAUGAAGGAGCUGGAGCAGAAGCUUGCCGAAGAGCGAGCAGCCAAACUGCGCCUGGAGAACAGAAUACUGGAGCUGGAGAAACACAGCAGCAUGAUGGACUGUGACUAUAAACAGGCCUUACAGAAACUAGAUGAGCUGCGCAGACAUAAGGACCGCCUCACUGAGGAGGUGAAGAACCUGACACUGAAGAUUGAGCAGGAGACCCAGAAGCGUAUCCUGACUCAGAAUGACCUGAAGGCCCAGAACCAGCAGCUCAGUGCUCUGAGAACUUCAGAGAAACAGCUCAAACAGGAAACGAAUCACCUGCUGGACAUUAAACGCAGCUUGGAGAAACAGAACCAAGAGCUGCGCAAAGAAAGACAGGACACAGAUGGGCAAAUGAAGGAAUUACAGGACCAGUUAGAAGCUGAACAGUAUUUCUCCACGUUGUAUAAGACCCAGGUUCGUGAACUAAAGGAGGAGUGUGAGGAGAGGAACAAACUCUACAAAGACGUGCAGCAGUCUCUGCAAGAGCUACAAGAGGAGAGGGACUCGUUGGCGGCUCAGCUUGAGAUCACUCUGACAAAGGCUGACUCGGAGCAGCUGGCGCGCUCCAUCGCUGAGGAGCAGUACUCAGACCUGGAGAAGGAGAAAAUAAUGAAGGAGCUGGAACUGAAGGAAAUGAUGGCCCGCCAUCGUCAAGAGCUCGCUGAGAAGGACAUCACCAUCAGUUCGCUGGAGGAGGCCAAUCGCACGCUGACAAGUGAUGUCGCCAACCUGGCCAAUGAGAAGGAGGAGCUGAACAACAAACUGAAGGAGGCAAUAGAAGAGUCAGAGAAGUCAAAGGAUUGGGAGCAGCAGAUCAGCCAGAUGAAGCAGGCAUUUGAGAAGCAGCUGCAGUCCGAGAGGACACUGAAAACUCAGGCUGUCAACAAGCUGGCAGAGAUCAUGAACAGGAAGGAGGUCCGUGGCGGAGGCAGUCGCCGUGGGAACGACACAGACAUGCGGCGAAAGGAGAAGGAGAACAGGAAGCUGCAGUUGGAGCUGCGGUCGGAGAAGGAAAAACUCAACAGCACCAUCAUCAAAUACCAGAGAGAGAUCAACGAAAUGCAAGCGCAAUUGGCGGAUGAGAGCCAAAUGCGUAUCGAGCUGCAGAUGGCUCUGGACAGUAAGGACAGUGAUAUCGAGCAGCUGAGGAACCUCCUGCAGUCGCUCAGUGUUCAAUCAAUGGACUCUGCCAGUGUUAGCAGUGGGCCAGAGUUUGAUGCUGACGAUGCGUACACAGAAACAAGGCUUGAGGGGUGGCUCUCUCUCCCUGUAAGAAACAACACCAAGAAGUUUGGAUGGGAGAAAAAGUAUGUUGUAGUGAGCAGCAAGAAGAUUCUCUUCUACAACAGUGAGCAAGACAGAGAGCAGUCCAUUCCCUACAUGGUGCUUGAUAUAGACAAACUCUUCCAUGUGAGGCCUGUCACUCAAACAGAUGUGUACCGUGCUGAUGCCAAAGAGAUUCCCAGGAUAUUCCAGAUUCUUUAUGCCAAUGAAGGGGAAAGCAAAAAGGAGCCAGAGUUUCCUGUGGAGCCACUGGCCAUUGGAGAGAAGUCCAGCUACAUCUGCCACAAGGGCCACGAGUUCAUCCCCACGCUCUACCACUUCCCCACCAACUGCGAGGCGUGCACCAAGCCUCUGUGGAAUAUGUUCAAGCCGCCGCCUGCUCUGGAAUGCCGGCGUUGCCACAUUAAGUGCCACAAAGACCAUAUGGAUAAGAAGGAGGAGAUCAUUGCUCCCUGCAAAGUAAACUACGAUGUGUCUACGGCCAAGAACCUGCUGCUGUUGGCCGUGUCCCAGGAGGAGCAGCAGAAGUGGGUGAGCCGGCUGGUCAAGAAGAUUCCCAAGAAGCCGCCGCCACCAGAGCACUUUGCACGCUCCUCGCCACGCGCGUCCAUGAAGGUUCAGCCCAGCCAGUCUAUGAGGAGGCCCAGUCGACAGCUCCCCACCAGCAAGAGCAGCCCUCGCAGGUCAAAUGGCUUCAAAAUGAGGCGAGAAGAAUCCAACAGUGGACACUGGUAUAAAUGACGACUUCCCUAAUCUUUUGCCUCCUUCAGCCGGAUGUUUUCCUGUAAACGACUAAAUUCCUAAAUUUAACCUUGUUUGGGAGCGUGGUGCAUCUUCGAAGUGCUGGGAUGUUCUUCCUAAAUCAAAGACUGUAUACAAAGCUCCGUUUGCAGAACAGCACACUGAACAACACAUCACUUCUCCACAACCCACCCUGUCCUGCUUCAGCCUGUGAGAGUUACAAAGUCUCUUUCCCCUUUUGUUGAACUGUAGCGGUUCGAUCUUUCCAGCAAGCUGGAUGGCUUGUAAGCGUAUUAGCUGAAGUCUUCUCUUGGUCCCUCGACUAGAGCAAUUUGGUGUCUCUGGGGGGGCUGGAGCAGCUCGUUCAGCUCCCACAGAACAUAAGAGAGCUCUUAAACGCCCGACUAGGGCUCGCAGGAAGGGGAUACACUUACCUCAACACCUCUCACCAGGACACGCUGUCUGAUUGAAGGAACCAGCAGGAAAACUCUCGACUCCACCUUUGGGAAUUCUUGUGGCCAAAUAAAAAAGACAUUUUUGUGUUUAAUGAUUGUGAACAAUAUUAAGGGUUUAAUGGGGAACACUACACUCAGAAGAUAGUAAAUCUUUUAAUUUCUUGGCUAAAUACAGUUGAGUUGAACUAGAGUUGAACUUGAUCCCAGAUACAAGAUCUGUACUUUGGCUUUUUCAAACUCUUUAACAUAUUGUUUGUAGCUUCCUGCUUCUCACCAUUCUGCUUUCAGGUGCGUGUCCACACGGGUCACAGAAACUUGAAUAAAGCACUCAAGCAAACGAGCCGGGACUUUUGGGAAAGUCAGUCAGGUGGGGCAGGAGUGUCAGAUUCCUCUUGAAUUUGAGCACAUAGUUCCUUGAGUGCCUCUUAUUCAGGUUUCUGACUCAGGCGCGCUCUGAAUCACUGGUUUGUCGUAUGAUUACAGUAACGGUUAUAAGUGAACAGAAUCUUGCUCUGAAUGGCAUUAGAUGGAGGACGAGACAUGAGAUCCUCAUAAUCUUACAAACCUGCACUGUCAGUUCUGAGGGUUAAUGUUUACUGAAAUCAAGGGGUGCACCGUUAAUGCUUUUCUGAUCCGAGCUCAGCUCCUUUGUUGUUUGAAUGUACAUCUGGGCUUUACCAGAGACGACACACAAGCAUUGUAUUACUUCUAUCCGAAUAUAUACUUGACUGAAGCCCCCUUUCAUCACCAACUACUCUGAGUGAACUUGCAUGUGUUUGCCUUUUCAGGCCUCACCCUUGAGUUCUGUCACCCACAGGCCUCCACCUAUUAACCAAUGUAGUUUUUCAGUCAUUCCUGACAAUGAAAAUGAGGGGAAUUCACCAAUGAGAAGCAGAAACAUUGAAGGUAUGCAAUCAUAUGCCAUGAGUCAAAAUACUGAGCAGCACUAUUCCAUUGAAAGUUUUUUUUUUUUUUUUUUUUUUUAAGUGUUUGUCCUGAUAUUUUUGUAUUAAAAGUAACCAAACUCUGAGUUUGGGCACAUUGUUGUGUGUAUGUGGCUUAUAUAACAGGUGAAGAGUAAACUAUGUGAGUAUGUGUGUGUGUGUGUGUGUGUGUGUGUGUGUGUGUGUGUGUGUGUGUGUGUAUGUGUGUACUGAGUGCUCUCCUUUAACCAAGAAGCAUGUUUUAUACAUAUAAAUAUACACAGUAUAUAUUUUACAUGCCUUACAGUGCACAUUAUAUUAUUUAUACAGCCUUGUCCACUUUGUAUUUAAGGGCUCUACAUCCAGAUUGCAUGUUUGCUACCAAACAGCUCUAUAAUAAUAACCACUUCAACAAUAAAG